rnacentral:rRNA from 1 species
AGCUCCAAUAGCGUAUAUUAAAGUUGUUGCAGUUAAAAAGCUCGUAGUUGGAUUUCUGGUAGGAGCGACCGUGCCGGGCUUGAUUGUUCGUGUAUUGUGUUGUCUCCAGCCAUCCUUGUGGAGAACUUUUCUUGCAUUAGUUUGUAGGGAUUGGGACCCGCAUCGUUUACUGUGAAAAAAUUAGAGUGUUUAAAGCAGGCAAUCGCUUGAAUACAUUAGCAUGGAAUAAUAAGAUAGGACUUUGGUAAUAUUUUGUUGGUUUGCAUACCAAAUUAAUGAUCAACAGGAACAGUUUGAGGAUAUUCGUAUGAACAUGUCAGAGGUGAAAUUCUUGGAUUUUGAUCAGACGAACUACUGCGAAAGCAUUUAUCAAGGAUGUUUUCAUUAAUCAAGAACGAAA